GUGCGUAGGCGGUCCGCUAAGUUAGAUGUGAAAACUCUGGGCUCAACCCAGAGCCUGCAUCUAAUACUGACGGGCUAGAGUUCUGGAGGGGGUAGCGGAAUUCCUGGUGUAGCGGUGAAAUGCGUAGAUAUCAGGAGGAACACCGGUGGCGAAGGCGGCUACCUGGACAGAGUCUGACGCUGAGGCACGAAAGCUGGGAGCAAACA
rnacentral:rRNA from 1 species